AUGUAAGCAGCAUGCUUUUCCGAAACAAUGCCCUUCAAAUAACUUGUCGUCUAGUUUUCAAGAGAAUCGUAUGAUUGAAACCUACUGUUCUUGAAAUCUGAAAAGACAGAUCCGAUGAUAUCUGGCCGCGGAGCUCGCCAACAUGGCCGAUAAACUUCACGUCAAGUCCGCUCACGAUUACCAGGAGGCACUUGCUUGCCUCGAGUGCAUCAGCCACCUGGUGGGGGACGGCGGCGACGUGGCGCGUCUCGACCCGCUGCUGAUGAACUCCUUCUA